UCGGAACACGUUCACGUAGCUUUAUCUUGGGGAUAGCUUUCGAAAGGAAGAUAUACCCAUAAUAUUUGGAUGCAUCAUUCGACAUUGAAAACUCCGGUGGAUAGAAUGGCACGCGCAAGAUUAGAUAGUGGUGAGGUAACGGCUCACCAAGUCUACGAUCUUUAGGGGGCCUGAGAGGGUGAUCCCCCACACUGUACUGAGACACGGACCAGACUCCUACGGGAGGCAGCAGUGAGGAAUAUUGGACAAUGGGUGAGAGCCUGAUCCAGCCAUCCCGCGUGAAGGACGACUGCCCUAUGGGUUGUAAACUUCUUUUGUAUAGGGAUAAACCUACCCUCGUUGAGGGUAGCUGAAGGUACUAUACGAAUAACACCGGCUAACUCCGUGCCAGCAGCCGCGGUAAUACGGAGGGUGCAAGCGUUAUCCGGAUUUAUUGGGUUUAAAGGGUCCGUAGGCGGAUCUGUAAGGUCAGGUGGUGAAAUCUCACAGGUUAACUGUGAAACUGCCAUUGAUACUGCAGGUCUUGAGUGUUGUUGGAAGUAGCUGGGAAUAAGUAGUGUAGGGGUGAAAUUGCAUAGGAUUUUAACUUUAGAACACCAA
rnacentral:rRNA from 1 species